rnacentral:tRNA from 1 species
GGGGUUGUGGCUCAGUGGUAGAGUGCUUACCUAGCAUGCAUGAGGCACUGGGUUUGAGUCUCAGCACCACA